rnacentral:rRNA from 1 species
ACUCCUACGGGAGGCAGCAGUGGGAGUAUUGCAUCAAUGGGAAACCGGUACUGCAGCCAUGCCGCGUGUGUGAAGAAGGCCUUCGGGUUGUAAAGCACUUUCAGUAGGGAGGAAGGUAGUGUAGUUAACACCUGCAUUAUUUGACGUUACCUACAGAAGAAGCACCGGCUAACUCCGUGCCAGCAGCCGCGGUAAUACGGAGGGUGCGAGCGUUAAUCGGAAUUACUGGGCGUAAAGCGCAUGCAGGCGGCCUGUUAAGUCAGAUGUG